GCUCAAAUAAAUUUGUUAGUCUCUAAGGUGCCACAAGUCCUCCUUUUCUGUAGUUUGAUGUAUAAUUUUUUGGCCCGCUAGGUGGCAGUGUAUGAAAGCUAUAUAGCUUUUCAUUUAUGGACCUUCCCAAGAGUCAGCAAGAGCUGUUCUAAGGCUCCUUUUCCGUUGCUCUUCACUGCCAUAGUAUGAUACAGCACAAACCCCAUUGCUAACUGCACUGCAGUCAGUCCUAAGCACUAAGCUAACCUAGCACACGGGAAUACUUGCUCCUUUUCGGGGGUGAGGCAGGGCAGAAAUUGGAAAGAAGGCCGAGUCUGUGUGCAAAUGGUAUUGUUUUGACAUUAUGGCAUAUGGCACAGUAAGAAAUUUCAAAAAGGACACCCACAGCAGAUGCUCCAGUAGCGUCAAAGGCAGAGAGCUGGCAAGAAACAGCCAUGCCUUGAGCAAAACUAUUGGUUGUCUGUCAUUGCUGCGCAGGCCAGAGAUCUGCGAACACCAGCACCAACCCAUGCUGCGUUUCAUGCCUCAUCGGCCACAAUAACACGUGUUGAUAGUGUGCCUUAUUUGACUAACUUACCUUUGACUCUGCUCUGGCCCUCGUCACUCCAAUAGCUGGGCACUUCACAAACUAUCGAUCCCCAUGUAACAGGGAAACUGAGGCGCAGAGGUGAAGUGACUUGCCUACGGUUACACAGUGAGUCUCUGGCAGUGCCAGGAAUUGAACUGAUCCCAGUGCCUCUGACUCUAACUCCACAGCUGCUGUGUACAACCAUCCUUCCGCUCUUUAAAAAAAAUCCCCAACCGCUUUAUAAACUCAUGACCCUCCAAUGAAACAGCUGCUGGCUAACGUGGCCCAGCAGCACUUCAGCACAGGUUAGUACAGGCAGUGAAGAAUACUGUAAGUAAUUGAAAUAUCCAGAGGGACAGCGGUCAAUGGAAUGAAUAUCCACCGUGGAUACUGGCCAAGACAGUGGGUUAAUGCCUGGACUGUUACAAAUAAGACCAUUUGGAUUUUUAAUGACCACAAGCGGUAAAGAAAAGAUCAGCAGCACAGCCGCCACUGUGCCUGGUCGUUUAGACAAAUUCAGAUAGGAAACCAGGCUAACUAACCACUGGAACAACUUCUCGAGGGCUUUGAUGGAGUUUCCAUCACUGGAUAUUUGUAAAUGAAGAUUGGAUGUAUUUUCUUUAGAUGGUACGCUCUAGUUCAACCCCAGCUACUGGACUUCAAGCAGGAAUCCACACAGGGAGGCCAUAGGACUUCCCUGAAUUACACAGGAAGUUGGACUCAAUCACAGUGGUCCCUUCUGGCCUUAAAAAUCUAUGGACAGACCGUUUUAUAAAAUGUUCCCUGUCACUCAAAAGGGUAGAAGCCACACAUCCCUAUUCUAGCUCCCAAACACAUACAAGAUUAAAUGGGCACCUCCCACAUUGCUAUACAAGUGCGUGUGUGCGGGGGGUGCGGUGACUAAAAGACCCCGGGAUGUGGCCUCCAUGGAUCUACUCCUGUGAGUCCCAAUCUUUUCUUGGGGAGGGGUGGGGAGCAGGGGGGCUUGGACUUUGGGCAGUGUCCAGGGGGCCCCCAUGUGCUGUGACUACUUUUUCCUCUCUUUCUUUGCGCCCCACCCCCAUUUUUGCUUCCUGUUCCCUUCCUGUUGCUCCCCUCACUCCCUGGCAGGCUACAUGCUGCUUGGCAUUGGGGCAUCAAUUGUUGGCUCAGGGACGUGCUCUCAGAGCUGAGCUUUGCUGGGGAAGCGGAUGCACGAGGCAUGGCCCAGCAACCUACUCCCUGCGCUGGUAGCCCCGGGUGCGAGAGUUGCUGCCAUGACUGCAUUCCAGCUAGCGUGGGUCAAAAAGCACAAUUUCCAUGCUGUGAAAUUCCAACACUUCAUAACGUUAUUUUGUCCCACACUGGGACACAAAAUCCAAACUUUGAAAUUUCCAACAGAAAUUGAGUUUUGAAAAUAUCGAAAGGACUUUGUUAGAGUGCUGUAUUUUAAUGUUUUGACUUUUAUCUGUAUAUUAUCUGCCUUAUAAAAUCAAAACACCACAGUGCUUGGACCGAGUCUAAAGGAAAUGUUUCAAUUAUAUUUUAUCAACAAAAGGGACAAGCUGUACAUUUGCCAUGAAAUAUUUCCAUUUUAUGGAAUCAGCAUAUUGUUCAGUUGGAAAAUUUUCAACCAACUGUAGUUCCAGUUGCCCCAUUAGGGCGUUCCUGCCAUGGGGGCAGGGAGGGAAGGCAAGUUGCAAAGAGCUAUCCAGAUUAGCAUCUGUGCAGUGGGGAGUGAAGGUGGAUCCAGGGUGAUGCAGCUUUCCCCUCCCCAUACACUGCUAGUCUCUUCUGUCCUGAGCCUCCCAUGGACUAGUCUGAUGCUCCCGCUUAGCCCAUAGAUCAGUAAUCCCCAUGCCAUUUUGCUUAGCCUAAUUUUUCAGUAUGCCGGUGGGUCUCAUGGGAUAGACUUACUCUGCUGUGUUUGUAUUUUCCUUGCUGCCUAUAGUGCUCAGCCCGUUGUACUGAAUGACAGCCAAACGUGAACUCAAAAUAUGAAGUUGAUUAGGAGGCAUUUAAAGUUAAGGUGGCUCUGUAGUAUCCAGCCUAGAGCUUGGUUAUUUUGUCCUAUGUGGCCCCAUCAUGUGUCUCUCAGCUUCCUCAUUGCUCUUCUUGGCCAGCUCCUUGCUGCAUUGAAGAGUUGAAGCCGAGCCAUGUAUUCCCCUGCAACUUAAUUUUAGGUUUGCCCACUUUGUCCAGGAAUGUAAUUAUGACUUUUGAAUUACAUUAGCAGCUUGCACAGAGUAAUUAAUUAGUCAGAUUUAUAAGGUGCUUGGUUCAUAAUGAUAUAUGGCCCUGCUUGGGUAAGUGGCACCUCAAAUUGGCUGUAAAAAUCUUAUUUCUAAGGUCAAGUUUUUACUGCAGGGGAUUUAUAAAGCUAUGAGCCUUUGUACUUAUGAGCUAUUUGUACUUAGGUUAGCUCAGCUACCAUUGAAUGUCUGCACACAUUCAGCUAUUGCCUACAGCAGCAGCCAGAUACCUGUUACGGACAGACACAAGGUGUGUUGGCUUUGAGCUAGUUUUGCAUGAAUGAUUUGGUCUGGGCCAUCACCUCAAAUCAAUGAGGUCCAGGAAGAGAGGUCGGAAUACUUUUGGUUUCCUUCCUGGUUGACUGUGCUAGUGCAGGAGAAGCCAAGCAGCAAAGGAUGUUAGCUCUUCCUUCUGUUCAUCACUACAAUUAUUCCAUCCAGCAGAGAACCUUUACAACAGCUGCGACAUGCCUAAGCUAAAAUCCCCAACUGCUACUGCUCUGUUCUAGGCAUUUCAUGGCUUCCUCUUCCCAAGGUAGAGGAACAAAAACCCCAAACAGGGUUGUGUGUCCUUCCAUGCUAGGUUGUGGCUUUGUCUGAACAAUAAAACAUUGCAUAGGUGGGUGGCCUGAGCCCUUGCUCGCUGGCCCCAGUGCUAGUCUUGCAACUCUAUCUGCUGCUCUGGGAGUCUAUGCUAAGCCAGGCCAUGUGAGGUGCUAUGCAUGUAGGUGGAUCUCUUCCCACCAGGUUGCUGCCGACCUGCUGGUGCUGCUGGUAGUGCGUGUUCCUUUGCUGGAAGCAAGUUGGGAUGAAGGUGCAUUUGUUUUACUUUCAUUUGGCUGAGUGGGGUGUUGCCCCCAAUGGCAAGACUACCCAGGCUUUGGAGCACUGUUGGUGUGAGGCACCCAAGACUCAUGUGCCGGGAGCAGGGACUUACACGGGAUCCCAGCAGCAAAAAAUGAUUCCAGCUCCUACAGUGUCCAACAGAUGUACAAGUGUCUGAUCCAAUCAUGCAGCAAGAGAUUUUGGGGGCAAGCCUUCCAGUUUUGUCAGUAUGGCAGCGCAAAGAAGCCAUAAAUUUUACAAACAAGAAUAAACGAUCCUUAGCAACAUAUGUCUACGCUGACAGUUCCAAGAGAGCUUUCAAUCACACCUGCCACUGCUCUGAGCAUUCAACUGUGUUUGUAAAGAUGGUAUUGUUUUUCUGAAGCUUUUGAAGCCUCCUAGCUCACAACCUAGCCUGAGUCAAACACAAUGUGAAGCAGUUUCAAA